rnacentral:misc_RNA from 1 species
GACUGUUUUACGUGCGCAUCAUCAAGUUUGCCCCAAUUGCUUAGAGAGCAUCAUUGGGMUUGGUUUGGUUUCUGUGUUGGCUACCUACUUGGAAGAGAGUGUCCCUUAAUAUUUGUCUUUGUAUCGGCUUGCACCCUUUUAGGGGGAAUGCUCGCUGAUCUUAGUAAUGCUUCUCAUAUUCCAUUGUCACGCUAUCACAGUGUAGUGGUGGCAAUGGCCUAUGUGGAAGUAUUCGUAAUCUUGGAUGCGGAAUGCGGAAUUGGGUAUUGGGUUGAAUAAACCUUUUAUCCCAAGCAGAGCAUCUUAUGCUUGGCACGUACGACACUAGCAAUUGCGUUGACCUUUCCCAACUUGAUUGGUGGGGGGGGCUCAUGCGAUGCAAGC